rnacentral:lncRNA from 1 species
AAUAAAUUUUCAUUAACCAAAACUCCCCCUCUAUAAUAAAUAUCAAGCCUCUUCAUAAUAAAUUAAAUCCUCAUGCUAAUCGUAAUCAAUUCCUAUAAUUUUAGAAAUUUUUCUAAAACAAACAAAUUUAAUUCUAAUUUUAAACUUUCUAAUCAAUAUCCCUAAUCUUUAAAAAUUUAUUCCAUAUAAAAAAUCCCAAAAAAAUUAAAAUAAUAUAAGAAUAAUAAUAAUAAUUUAAAAAAUUGUAAAAAAAAUUCUAAUUUAUUU